AUGGAGACAGACACACUCCUGCUAUGGGGGCUGCUGCUCUGGGUUCCAGGCUCCUCUGGUGACAUUGUGCUGACCCAGUCUCCAGCUUCCUUGGCUGUGUCUCUAGGGCAGAGGGUCACCAUCGCCUGCAAGGCCAGCGAAAGUGUUGAUAAUUAUGGCUNUAGUUUUAUGAACUGGUACCAACAGAAACCAGGACAGCCACCCAAACUUCUCAUCUAUGAAGCAUCCAACCUAGAAUCUGGGGUCCCUGCCAGGUUCAGUGGCAGUGGGUCUGAGACAGACUUCACCCUCAACAUCAAUCCUAUUGACGAUGAUGAUGUUGCAGACUAUUACUGUCAGCAAAGUAAAGAGGAUCCUCGGACGUUCGGUGGAGGCACCAAGCUGGAAAUCAAACGGGCUGAUGUUGCACCAACUGCAUCCAUCUUCCCACCAUCCAAUGAGCAGUUAGCAUCUGGAGGUGCCUCAAUCGUGUGUUUCCUGAACAACUUCUACCCCAGAGACAUCAAUGUCAAGUGGAAGGUUGAUGGCAGUGAAAAACGAGAUGGCGUCCUGAACAGUUGGACUGAACAGGACAGCAAGGACAGCACCUACAGCAUGAGCAGCACCCUCACAUUGACCAAGGCAGAGUAUGAACAACAUAACAGCUAUACCUGUGAGGCCGUUCAUAAAACAUCAAGUUCACCCAUCGUCAAGAGCUUCAACAGGAAUGAGUGUUAGAGCCAAGGGUCCUGAGGUGCCACCACCAGCUCCCCAGCUCCAUCCUAUCUUCCCUCCUAAGGUCUUGGAGACUUCCCCACAAGUGACCUACCACUGUUGCAGUGCUCCAAACCUCCUCCCCACUUCCUCCUCCUCCUCCUCCUCCCUUUCCUUGGCUUUUAUCAUGCUAAUAUUUGGAAAAGAUAUUCAAUAAAGUGAGUCUUAGCACUUGA